GCAUAGAGGGUUUGAGGGAUA
rnacentral:siRNA from 1 species